ensembl:lncRNA
UCGGAUUUAGCUCCCAACAGUAAUUCACUGUUCACUUUCUAUUUUCUGAUUUUGUCUCCUGAAAAGCCUGAGAUGGUAUCUGCGCUUGAUAAGAGCAACACUCAGGUUUAUUUAUAACAAUUUAUCUUUAUUCAUGUUGAAAUCGUGCACAGAGUCAUGGUUUUCAUGUUUUACAGAUCAUUUCCCAGCUUUGUCGCGCAACCCAUAUUUGAUUCACAAAACCUUACUCACAACAAAAAGGCAGACAGAUCUUUACACAGUGGGGACCUUGUUGCGCAAUUUUUGCUGGCAGCCUGAAGGUUUUUUUUUUUUUUCUCUCUUUUCUAGAGAAGUCAUGUUUUGUUAAGGCCUGUUAGUUUUAUGGCAGCCUGCAUUUCUCUUUUUGUCUCCAAGUUCAAUUGCAUGAUCACUACCAAACCAAAAGGCACACUUUGUACUCUGACUUCUACAUGCUGCAAUAAACUUACACACAUCAAAAGCAUUCAUCAAAAAAAUCCCCCCACCCCCCUUAAAAAAAACAGUUUUAAUUCACUUUGUUUAGAAAAUUAUAUACAAAAUGUGUACUUUUAACACAAGGAACGUGUUCUGUGUUCAGUAGUGCUUUUUACAGAAUAGCUGCUACAAGAUAUCACAGCAGACAAUGGGCUACAAAAAAGUGCCCAAACAGAGAGAUCCAUUUGGACCAUAAAUCCACAUCAGUGAAAAUUCCAUGUCCUUGCAGACAGUUGAGGAACAUGUCCAAAAACUACAACAUGACGAUCUUCUCAUGAGCCAAUGUUUUUAGUCACGGGCCGCCCUCUCCAGUUGUUUGAAGAAAUGUCCCUCUCUGUCUGUUGGUUCAGCUCCUGUAAGUAGUGAUGGUCCUGCACGUGCAUGAGACCACCAACGGAGUCCGCUAUUUCAUAAAGGACUGCAAGGACAGAAAGUGCUGUUCCAAAGAAAUACAUUUUCAGGAUGGCCGCCACCAUGGUUUGUGUGAGGAAGAGCUGCCUGCAAAAGGAGAAGUAAAUAUUCAGAUUUUGAUGACAGACAAACAUUAAUUCUACAGCAGGGUGGCCAUAUUUUGAUUUCCCAAAAAAAGAGGACACUUUUUUUGGAAAGUCAUGAAGAACUUUAAUAACUUUAAUAAUACUGUUUGCUUAAAGAAAACUUUAACAUAUUUAAACGAAGCCUUCUCUGUGCGGUUAAUGAAUGGUGAAAUAAAAAAUGUCAUAUAGGUUUUUACAAGUCUACAAGUGCAAAAAAGGAGAGUUGGUCAUCCUAUUCUACAGCAGAUUCAAAAAAAAUGUGAAAAAAAAAAUCAGGUAAAAGAUUUGUAAGAAAAGUUGAGGCAAAAAAACCUAAACAAAAACAUGCAUUGAUCUAUGCAUUUUUGACAAAUAGCUUGUCACCAGCCUACAGAUUUUUGAAGCCAAGCAGGUAGCUGAAUUUUGAAACAGUUCAUGUGCAUUUUGAUCAGUGGUUAUGCCUCGAUAGGGUUAGAUGACUGCAGUACAAAAUUCACCACAAGACACAGUAAACAAGUAAAGUGUUCUGUUUUAGAAAGAAAUGAUCUAGGAAGGAAGCUUGAGUCACCGGCAUACAUCAACAGGAAGGUAAUUCGUGCUGCGUUUGCAAACUUCUGGAAGAAUCAACUUUACCCUGGGGAAUAAUCUGAAGUCCUUACGUCUCUACACAUUUUCGACGAUGCAGCUGUUACUUUCAAUGCGGAUGUAAUAGUUUCAGUUAUUCACUGUGCUCAAAUUUACUUAAAAGCUGCGAUAAAUAAAAAGUAAGGGACGACUCUGAAGGCAACAGUCAGAAAGCGAAAGACACAUGGCUUUCAAUGCGAUAAAACGCAGACAUUAAACGCUGCUUGUCGGUACUUUAACCGAAAGGCUCUUAAAGACUGGGACAUGGUUUCUAAUGGCACAUUAACAUACCAGACUAUCCACCGAUCUGUAAACUGUUGUUCUCUCUCGUUUCUCGAAGCUGUGCAGGCUUUGUUUCUCCACCGGUCACGACACGGCACGGCACGGCACAGAUUAGCAAAGAAACCAGUUAAGUUGUUUGGUUAUUUUGUCCGUUUGUUAGUUCACACGGUGUUUCUUCGUGCGAGGUGAGGAACUCUUCAUCCAACCAGCUGCUCUGCCCGCAAGGUCUGCCUCUGACUCUUCCACUCGCACUCUCUGCUGUGGUAUGAUAGACGACGUCACGAAGGAGAGUUCUGGGUUUUCCAGGCUGUUGAUUAAUUUCCUGUUUUAACAGCAUUCAAAUCACUUUCGGUCUAAUUGUUGUGUCAAUAGUCAGUUAACGACUGCCACAUUAUCUGAUAAGGAUAUGGGAAAUUUGUAAACGAUUUCUAGUGAAAAAAAUGACAGUUAAGUGUGUGGACUGUGGUUAAGUUCGUUAAAUCUAAAUUCUUUUUUUUUCUUUUUUUUUUAAAUGACCAGCAAUUGUUAACUAUUCUUGACUAUAUUGAGGUUUUGCAAAAAUGUGCCAUUUUGGAAUCGUGACACUCGGGCUUAGAGACCAGGCAAGCCGGUUGUGAGGGAAAAUGAAGAUUCCACAACUAGUUUCCAGUAGUUGCUGGGAGGAUUGAUAAAGCUCGAGUCACGCAGCCCCACUUUCAGUGAC